ensembl:lncRNA LINP1 lncRNA in non-homologous end joining pathway 1
CCAGUGACUUUGCAGUUCCUCCCCUGUGGGGGAAGUGAAUUUCCUCCCUCCGUCUCCUUGACUCUGGGUGGGCUGUGUGACUUUUCCUUGCUCAAUAGAAUGAGAAGGAGGUGGCGCACCGGCUACAAGGCUAGACCGGGGGCUCGCAUAUCUCCACUUGCAGCUGCCACUGCCAUUAGAAGAACUUGCUCAGCCAGCUCCUGGGCCCCAGGAAAAGGACAAGUGUCACCCAGAACAGAGCCACCUCCAGCUGCACUCAGCUCCAGAAGCUGGCCCAGCCGGUCCAGUACACGUGAGAAUAAAUUGUUGUUGCUUUUACCCAUUAGGUUUUGGGGUGAUUUGUGAUGUUGCAUUGUUGCAGCAAUAACAAAUAAAUAUAAACAGUGUUUGAGCUGUGGGCUCCAAUGGACUUUUGUCACUUAUUAGCUCUGGCCAUUAUUUCAACUUUCUAAAUCACAAUAUCUGUCACAAAGACAGCAAAAUAAAAAUACCUAAAGUAAUAUUUUAGAAGGUGCAUGCAUUUCUGUGUGCUAAUUAAAUGAGAUAAUGCUGGUAAGGGCGUUCUGCAGCACCUGGCGCCAGUUGUAUUACAUUAGCCCUUGUGUGGUGGCCCUGUGCCUGGGAAGGGAUUCUGCAGGCAGAGGCCUCUGCAUCGGGUGCUGACCACAGCCCUGUGCCCACCAGCUGGUUCCGUAGUUUUCAGAUUUUACAGGUUAAACGUGCUGAAAGCAGCACGGGCAUACUUGUUCAGCUGAAUUAGCUUCCACAUGCUGAACAUGCCCAGCCUGAGAGAAUGAUCUGGGCUGUGUGUGUGUGCAUGGUCACGUGUGCACAGCAAUGUGAGUGUUUAUUCUUACUGGAAUGUGAGCAAAGAUGGGGAAUAUUUCUGCUUCUUGAAAAUUCUGCAUAAAACCUUCAUCUGUGUUUCUGUUAUUGCAUAAAGUUGGGCACUCCAUUUCUUGGAGUCAACGUUUAAAAGAAAAGACUAAUAGCAGGAAAUGCUGGUCUGUCUUCCUCCAGCUUUUAAAUAAUGUCCUCUACGUGCCGGUGUGGAAGUAGCCCGGAUGCAAUUGAAUGAACAACAGACGGUGCUUUCCAGGACGGCGCUGUGCUUUCCAGGAUGGUGCUGUGCUUUCAUUCAUUUGGGUAGCUCCUCUGUGAGCCUCCCAGCGCCGACUGCAGAGCCCCCACUCUCCAGCCUGCAAGACCCCGAAAUUCAAGCCACACAAAGAAAGGAGGAGGGGGCCGUUGGCAUUUACUGAACCUUAUAAAACUGUCAGCAAAACAGCCCUUAGGCUUGGACUCCCUGCUAGCCGGGUUUUACGGUGCUGAAGUCAGCAUCUUGAUUCAGCUGCAUAAAUAAUCUCCUGCAGUCCUGCAAGGCCUGGGGUAGGAGAGGGUAUGGGGACCAGGGCACUCUGUAAGGGCUGGGAUAGGAACCCCAGGGAAUAAGACAGACCAACUGCGGGACUUCAGACUCCACUGCAGCCGGGAUCGGGUUGUUGUUAAUUUCUUAAGCAAUUUCUAAAUUCUGUAUUGACUCUCUCAUGCAUGUAACUGAUCCUUAGAUAUUGUCAGCCAAAUGACUAAAGGAUUUAGAAAUCUGAUUGACUUUUGGAAAUCUGAUUGACUGGCACACUCUCUCUGCCUCUUUCUUUCUCAACAUUUUAUUUCUAACUAUAGUUUCUUCUGUUUUUUUUAGUUACCCUAAGCAGAUCAGACAUCUCACUUUCAAAAAAUACCUUUCAAAACAUACCUUUAAAAAAUGACUUGCAAAAAAAUACCUCACCUCCUCUUAUUUUGGCAGUAGUGAGAGUAGUAGCCCCAAUGCCAACCAGCAUCUCGUCCCUGCCUCUACACCGUGCCCUGGCUGGGAAAAGUUCCAUCCCACACAUGAGCUGUGGGGUCUGGGCCAGGAGGAGCCAUUGCUCUCGCUUAUGAAGAAGAUAGAGCUGGAUCAGUGAAUGGUACCAGAGGCACACACCUCAGACCCCGCUCCAGUUCAGGUUCUGUUGCUCAGAUCUAUCAUUUUCUAUUUAUUCUGUGCGACGGCCCCAAGUUUAGCAAUCUAAAGCUUGCAUAGCCGGGCUCGGUGG